UACGUAGGGGGCAAGCGUUGUCCGGAUUUAUUGGGCGUAAAGAGCGUGUAGGCGGCUUGGUAGGUCUUGCGUCAAAACCUGAGGCUCAACCUCAGUUCGCGUGGGAAACCAUCUAGCUAGAGUCCGGAAGAGGAGAACGGAAUUCCCGGUGUAGAGGUGAAAUUCGUAGAUAUCGGGAGGAACACCAGUGGCGAAGGCGGCGAUCUGGGAAGAUACUGACGCUGAGGUGCGAAAGCGUGGGGAGCAAACAGG
rnacentral:rRNA from 1 species